rnacentral:tmRNA from 1 species
GGGGGUGAACAGGGCUCGACAGGGAUAAUUCUGUCCAGUGACUGCAGGUCGUGGUUGGUCGGAGGCCACGAAAAAAACUGACCACUACAAAUAAGUGCAAACGCUUAUGCAUGUGCCGCCUAACUAAAGGCGACGACGCUUCUGCCCGACUCCCAUAGAGCGGAAAGCGUUCACGAUGGGAUUACUUUUGUUUUCCGGCGUCUCAACGGGGCAAAAGGAAAAUAACAUUGGGGCUGGUUUGCGGCGCCCUGUUCGUGAGGCAAACCGCAGACGAGAAACGUAUCCGGACUAAACCUGUAGACGUCCUGGCCGGAUAUUUCUGGACGCGGGUUCGAUUCCCGCCACCUCCACCA